rnacentral:misc_RNA from 1 species
GAUGAAGAACGUAGCGAAAUGCGAUAAGUAAUGUGAAUUGCAGAAUUCAGUGAAUCAUCGAAUCUUUGAACGCACAUUGCGCCCGCCAGUAUUCUGGCGGGCAUGCCUGCUCGAGCGUCAUUUCAACCCUCAAGCCCCCGGGCUUGGUGUUGGGGAUCGGCGUGCCCUCGCGGCGCGCCGUCCCCUAAAUCUAGUGGCGGUCUCGCUGUAGCUUCCUCUGCGUAGUAGCAACACUCGCACUGGAUCGCAGCGCGGCCACGCCGUUAAACCCCCCACUUCUGAAAGUUUGACCUCGGAUCAGGUAGGAAUACCCGCUGAACUUAAGCAUAUCAAUAAGCGGAGGA